rnacentral:miRNA from 1 species
ACAAUGUAGAUAUUUAAGCAGGAAAUAGAAUUUACAUAUAAAUUUCUAUUU